rnacentral:rRNA from 1 species
CCUACGGGUGGCAGCAGUGAGGAAUAUUGGUCAAUGGGCGGAAGCCUGAACCAGCCAAGUAGCGUGCAGGAUGACGGCCCUACGGGUUGUAAACUGCUUUUAUACGGGAAUAACGCGCCUUACGUGUAGGGCUUUGCAUGUACCGUAUGAAUAAGGACCGGCUAAUUCCGUGCCAGCAGCCGCGGUAAUACGGAAGGUCCGGGCGUUAUCCGGAUUUAUUGGGUUUAAAGGGAGCGUAGGCCGCAUGUCAAGCGUGCUGUGAAAUUUCCGGGCUCAACCCGGGCCGUGCGGCGCGAACGGGCGGGCUUGAGUCCGAGGAAGGAAGGCGGAAUUCGUGGUGUAGCGGUGAAAGGCUUAGAUAUGACGAAGAACCCCGAUGGCGAAGGCAGCUUGCUGCAGCGGAACUGACGCUGAUGCUCGAAAGGGGGGGUAUCGAACAGGAUUAGAUACCCGAGGAGUC